UCUGCCCCUUCCCUCCCCCUCCCCCUCCCCCGUUCCAAGGGUAGGAGUAAGCCGCGUUUGUGUGUCUGUCUGCGGAGUCUGUAACUUCUGGCCGACUCCUCUGUUUCUCCCUCCUGUUGCAGGGGAAAGAAUAAUGGACACCACUGAUUGCAUGUCUACUCUGUGUCAGGUGCUGGUUUCUUGCCUGCCAUUUCCCUCAUCCUCACUCUCUGAGGUUGGCACUAUCAUCUCCCUUUACCUGUGAAGAAAUGGAGACAGAGGAAAGUUCACUCCCCAGCCCAAGAGCAAGCAGGCACGGCAGAGGAACAGGCUGACCACUGGUGGGAAACACACCUACAAGAAAUUCAUCAUCACUGACAGAAGAACAAUGAAAGACCCUGGAGUCCGUCAUGCCUGAAGGCUGACAUUUCUAAACACCCUCCUUACUGCCCAUUUCCCCUAUAUAACUGCCUGAAGAUUCUGUAAUCCUUGAAGAUGGGUUUUUUGAGACAUUAGUCACCCGUCUUCUGAUUUGCCAGCUAAUCUAAUGAAAACUUCCUUUCUCAUCCCUGACUUGUUGUGAUUAACUGGCUCAGAUCACUGUCAGCAGAGUGAGCCCAUUGCUCAGUAUUAAGAUGUAAGCAAGUCAUGGAGGAGAAGUUUGUAUUUGGGGUCCCUGAACAUCAGCCAUUUUGUUAUUUGAUCCUUUUUUCUACCUCUUUCCCAGCAGGAAUCUUCUCUGCCCUCCCCCAGGAAGCCAUAAUCUAGUGAUAAUUCCUUAGCUUUUGACAGUGCAUUACAGUUGAGCAAUCCUUUGCCCUUACGUUGUCUCAUUUGUCUUCCUCGCUUCCUCCCUUUCUCCAUACACCACCUCUCCUCCACAUUCCAGCCUCCCCCAGGCCUUAGCCUCAUUGUCUCUCUCCUAGACUCCAGCAAUGGCUUUUCACCUGGUCCCCGGCAUCCCUGCUGCCUCUUCCCCACAUUCCAAAUCCCUUCUCCAUACUCCAGUCGUAAAGAUCUCUUUUAAAAAUUAUUCAGAUCAUAUCACUCCUUAGCUUCAAACCCUUUAAUACCCUCCUUUGCACUUAAAAACAGUUUCCUUACACACCUCUCUCCUUCCUCGUUUCUACCUCUUGCCCCUUGUGCACUGUGCUCCAGCUCAACGACCUUCCUUCUCUUCCUCAAACAAGCUUAGCUCAUUCCCACUGUGGUACCUUUGCACUUGCUGUUCCCUCUGCCUGGAAUGCUCUUUAAAUGGCUGGCUGUUUGUCAUGCUUUACAUCUUUGACUGAAUGUCACCUUUUCCAGAAUCCUUCCUGACCCAUCCCCCACCAACUCUUCUAAAAUAGCCUCCCUCCUCCUAGUCACCCUGCUUACUGCAGUUACAAUUCCUGUCUCAGUCUGAAAUUGAUUUGUUCACAUUUUUAUUAUUUGUUUUCCUCUAUUAGAAUAUAAGCUCCAUGAGGGCAGGGUCAUACGUGUUUUAUUUAUCAUUUUAUUACCUGCAUCCAGAAUAGUACUUUUUACAUAUUAGGCACUCAACUAAUAUUUGUUCAAUGGAUGAAUGCAUGAGUGAAUAAAUUUGAUUUUAUAACACUCCUGUGAGACAGGCAGAGAAAAUAUUCUCAAUCUUAUUUUACAGAUAUUUUCAGUUAUAUUUUACAGAGUAUCUGUACUUGCCAGUCAUGUAAGUGGUGGAGCCAGGGCAGAUCAGAAGUCUUCUAAGUCCCCUCUGCUGCAUUCUUUUUGACAGCUCAUAAGUGGUUCAUCUUAGCCAUCUUAGAAGAUGGAAGAGGACGCGGGCACUUGGAGAGAAGAUCAACCGUCACGCUAUACUCACAUUCACAAAAUUGUAGCCAGAGAUGGAAGAGCGGGAGGGUUCCCCGCCAGUGUGUUCCAUCCUCACCAUGUCUGUACUGGGCGCAUGCAUAGCAUGGCUGGAGGAGGCAGGAGAGCAUGGUGGUUCACGGCAGGGCUUUGGAGGAAGACAAACCUGGAUUUCACUCCUAAUUCUACUACUUACCAGCUGUGUCUUUAGAUAAGUUCGUUAUCUUUUCUGAGACUCAUUCUCCUUUCUUAUAAUGUGGGAAUAACAUCACUAACAUUUUAACGUUCUUUGGGGGAUUAAAUAAGAGAAUGUCUGAUGUUUCGUGUAUAGUAAGUGCUGAAUAAAGAAUAUGGUAUCAGAAUGUUAUGAAGAUAGGAUUCAACAGGCUUAUAAGAAGUUUAGCUUUCCAAUGCCUCUUUCCUCUCCCUACAGAAAUGGAAGGGAAGUUAAUUCCUGGUAUUUAGAACUGACAAACUCUCAGUGAUCAUCCAGUCAAGCUACUUAUUUUGUACUUUGAGGAAACUCAAGACCAGAGAAGGUGGUGACUUGUCUGGGUUUCCUUGGCCAGUAGUGGGGGAAUUGGCAAUGGAAAUGGAACCUAAAUGGACUGACUCCUGUUUGUGACUCUUUCUAUUCACUGUUGACAUCAUAAGGCGUGGAAAUCUCAGAUUUCCACCUGUUUUUUUCCUUGGCCAAAGUACACAACAGAAGCCAGGAGGGUCCCCUCAGGGCAGAUGGGAUUGCAUAGAGAGGGGCAGGGCCUGACAAGUCCUGCAGCCCUCUCCAGGGCCCGCUUGUUGGCUGUGUGACUUGGGCCAGUUAUUUCUUCUCAUUGAGUCUCAGUUCCACUAUCUACAAAACAGGGAUGAUAAUAGUAGCUAUAUCUUAGGGUUGUCAUAAGAAUUAAAUAAAAUAACCCACAUAAAAUUGCCUGCAACAUAGGAAAGACUCAAUAAUAGAUCUAUUUCUAAACUUGUAUUAAAAGUGAUAUUAAAAUGGCUUUUGUAGGGGCAAAUAUAGUUUUGUUCAUAUAAUCUAUAUACAACAUAUAAUAAUAUUUGACUAACCUUGGAAAAAUAUAAACUACAUAGUUCUAAAGAAAUAUAUUGAUUACCAUUGAACACUGGUUUCUGGUAGAGAAUAAAACAUCCCAAACUGACUGGUAAAUGAAAUCCCCUGCCCUACAUUUCGUGUUGUAAAAACAAAUAAUGAGGCUGUAUUAAAUGUUAGUACUAAAAAAUGAGUUAAAAUACAAAAUACAUUAGAAUAAAUUUCUGCAAAGUCUAUACAGACAGAGGGAAUAUAUCAAUAAAAAUGAGCGCAAAGCAACC